UACGUAGGGGGCAAGCGUUGUCCGGAUUUAUUGGGCGUAAAGAGCUCGUAGGCGGUUUGUCGCGUCUGCUGUGAAAACUGGAGGCUCAACCUCCAGCCUGCAGUGGGUACGGGCAGACUAGAGUGCGGUAGGGGAGAUUGGAAUUCCUGGUGUAGCGGUGGAAUGCGCAGAUAUCAGGAGGAACACCGAUGGCGAAGGCAGAUCUCUGGGCCGUAACUGACGCUGAGGAGCGAAAAGCAUGGGGAGCGAACAGG
rnacentral:rRNA from 1 species